GAUGAACGCUGGCGGCGUGCCUAAUACAUGCAAGUCGAGCGAAUGGAUUAAGAGCUUGCUCUUAUGAAGUUAGCGGCGGACGGGUGAGUAACACGUGGGUAACCUGCCCUUAAGACUGGGAUAACUCCGGGAAACCGGGGCUAAUACCGGAUAAUAUUUUGAACUGCAUGGUUCAAAAUUGAAAGGCGGCUUCGGCUGUCACUUAUGGAUGGACCCGCGUCGCAUUAGCUAGUUGGUGAGGUAACGGCUCACCAAGGCAACGAUGCGUAGCCGACCUGAGAGAGUGAUCGGCCACAAUGGGACUGAGACACGGCCCAGACUCCUCCGGGAGGCAGCAGUAGGGAAUCUUCCGCAAUGGGCGAAAGUCUGACGGAGCAACGCCGCGUGAGUGAUGAAGGCUUUCGGGUCGUAAAACUCUGUUGUUAGGGAAGAACAAGUGCUAGUUGAAUAAGCUGGCACCUUGACGGUACCUAACCAGAAAGCCACGGCUAACUACGUGCCAGCCGCCGCGGUAA
rnacentral:rRNA from 1 species